rfam:Fragilariopsis cylindrus CCMP1102 unplaced genomic scaffold FRACYscaffold_49, whole genome shotgun sequence.
GCACUUGUGGUUUAGUGGUUAUAACGUCUCCUUCACACGGAGAAGGUCCCCGGUUCGACUCCGGGCUCGUGUA